GGUAUAUCUCAGGUUGGAAGCAAUGCCUACUGGAUUUGCGAGGCUUGUGUGCUUAUAGAAAUGCACCUUCCAUCUGCUGCUUCUGGUUCUCGACUGAUAAGGACUUACAGCUUGUCCCAGUCUAGGUGCAGCCCUGAAGAAUCCACAAUCCCAAGCUGCAGGUGACAAUGAAAUUGACCAAAGACCCCCCACAUCCGUUAAGAGCCGAGUGUAUUUAACAUUAUUGGGUAGCGGUCAGAUACAGAUAUGUCUGUACAUAUACGCUCACUGACCACUUUUUAAACACCUAACUUAAACUAGUUAAGCCUGCUUGCGUAUGACAAUACGUCAGUGCGUUGCUGUGGCACGUACUGGAAGGCAGUAAGUGAUUUUCAUGGGAGGACCUGCCACAAGUUCUCAAGAUGCCUAUGGUUCAUGUUGUUUAUCGUUGCUUAAAUAGUUUGAACUGAGAAACUACAAGGAGCUUUUAUCAAGUGCCAAAGCUUGUUGUUCAUGAGGGAAAAAUGCAAGAAAUUAACCAAAAAUGCUGGCAAAAACAUAUUUUGCACAUUUCAUCUUUGGGUGUGCACAAGUGAUGGAUAAAGGUACAAGCAACACCACUUACACUUAAAUCAGUGUUAACAGUUUUUAAACAGUGUCCACUCGCUGUCCACUCUAGACACUCUUACCUUGCUAGUGCUUGUAGAUGCAAAGAGAAUAGCUCAUCCAUUGAUGCAGUUUGUUAGUUAUCCACUAGUCCUUCAUCAGUGGUCACAGGGUGCUUUUUGCUGGAUGCUUUGAUUGAUAGAUUAUAAACACUGAGGUGUUUACUGCAGCAGCACUGCUGUGUCUGAUCUGAUCCACUCAGACCAGCAAAACACACGCUAACACACCACCACCACGUGACUACUGAAGAAGAGGGUAAAAGGGGGCUAUUAAAGUAUACAGAGAAACAGUUGGAUUACAAUCUGUAAUUGUAGAAACUAUAUAGUGCUACUAUAUAAGUGGAUCCAAUUACUUUGGAAAAUGAGUGAAUACAAGGUAGCUUUAAAUAAAAAAGUGGCAAAUGAGUGUAUACAUAUAACAAAGCACAGUGGUGUGCUGCAUAUUCCAGUUUAGUUUGUAGUGUUAACACCUGUUUCUUGGUAUAUGGUAACUGAUUUUUUAUGUACCGACAAUUCCAUCCAUUUGGUCUGUGUUGUAGGCAAGUGCUGCAGACAAUUAAAGCAAUUGCUUCCAAAUGAUUUUUAGAGUUGUCAUUGACAUUAAUGCAUGCAUAAAAGUGAAAACACAUGAGCUUUAAGAACUGCUGAUUUUAGAAGGCAUGAUACGAUGUGGUACAUACUGGUUGAAGACAUGAUAAUGCACUGUUUAGGCUUUGCUUGCACAACAGGAGUCUUCCAGGACAACUCUUUAAUUUUGGGCUGCAGCUCUUGGUCUCACUGGACAUCAGUAGGUGUAUGUAGUCUUUGCACUUUACGGUGCCUUUUGGUGGGGAUGGGGGGUUGGUAAUGUACUUGUUCCUGUAAUGGAAGUGGUUGCCUUUCUGGAAGGGAUGUGGCAGGGUGUUGAUCAAGCUUCCAAAACCUAGCUAGCUAACCUUGCCAGUCCAUGUGGCCUAAAACUUACUGGAACUUGAGGUGUGUGUAGAUCAAAAGGGUACUUCCUUAAGGGUUACACUGGCUGUCAUCUAUAUAGACAUGUAAACACUGCUUUAAAGUUUUCCCCUGUCAAGAUUAUGUAACCUCAACUCAUCUUUAAAAAUGUAAAGUACAACACCACUCUGGUAGAUCUGCACAACUACCAAUUACAGCAAAUUUGGUAACACAUCAAAACUGAAUAUUUCAUUUUUAAAACAAGGUGACACUGAAAAGAAUUGUUUGGGAAUGUUUAUUUUUGUUAAUAUACAUGAGUCAAUAUCUUCUCUGGUAUUUUUUGUCUUUAAUGUAAAUAAAUUAAACAUAAGUAAGACAAUGUAACAAUUUCUAAAGCAGUGAAAAUA